rnacentral:lncRNA from 1 species
GCUGAAAGAAUAGGGGAAGAAAUUCCUUUCGGAAUCCGUACUCUUUAGCGAGCCCACUCAACUUGGACUCGAUACGAGGAAAAUGCAGUAACUAUACGGAUAUAGCAGAGUCAAAGUAUAACACAGCAGAGCAACGCGAGUCUUCGUAUAAAAUGUAAAAAAGCGUGUUGGUUGGGAGCUAUAGAAAAUGUACGGUAACUCACGAACGAACUCGCGAAAGAGAAAGAGAAAGAGAAAGAAAAGGAUUGGUCGAGAGGGAGAGUAGACAAGUAGGCAAGGGGGAGGGAAAGAGGGUUGUAUCCUCCCAGAGAGAGGAAACGAGGAAAGCUCUAUCGAUCGUUAAGUCUGUAGGCCGUCUGCCUCGGGACAAGAGCAUAAUGUACGCGUUGAUGGAAAGAGAACGAAAGAGACGAAGCGACAGAAACGAUGGAACGGUGGAUGGAAGUGGGGUUUCGAGGUAGCAGGAAAGAAGUGGAAGAGGUGGUUACGAGGGGGAAUGGGGGAGAGGUAGAGAGCCUGAAGAGGGUCGAAGUACGAAAGCUCCUCGUCGUUCGUACGUUCGUUCGUUCGUUCGUUCGUUCGUUCGUUCGUCGUCGUAUGCUGCUGCCAGAGUUGAAGGACGAUCGGGGCGUUUAUUUAGCGACUUCGAAGUGAAUUUCUUUUUCUGUCCGCUAGACGGCGCGACGAACGUUUUCAAUGGGGACCAACUUCGAAGUUUCGCGCAGAUUAAAAUCACCAAGUUUUCUAGCUAAGGGUUGUAUACGAGAGCAACGUUUCCAUCCGCCAUUUUACUUUUAAUUAUACUUUUUUUUACUUACUGCUCGUACGAAAAAAUGAAAUCGUUUUGACACCGAUUAAAAUAGUACGGAUAAGUCGACGUUGUGAUUUUGCGGGGGAAUAUUUGGUUACUACGCGGCUUAUCGUCGAUAAUAAUGACCAGUGCGAUAAGGUGUCAAUGUCACGGUUCCGAGAAAUUAUCGUCGCGCAACAGGGAGCGCCCGCAGCCGGUACGAAAUCGCUGGAACGAUAAUGGCCGACACUGAGGACGUAAUAAACGUGUGCCGUGCCCAUGAGAAUAACGAUUAUGGCUUAGGCGAUUUUUCUUUCCUCGGAGAAUAAUACGACCUUCGUAGCUAUAAUUAAUUUUUCUUUUUUUCUUCUUUGUACAUACAGAAAUUGAUCUCUUAAUCGUACAUAUAUUUUUUCCAAAUUAGAAAUUAUAUUUUCUAUAUUUUUAUAUAUAUAUAGAAAUUAUAACGAAUUUUAAAUUAAAUUCGAUGAUAUGUCGAACGUAAACGAAAUGGCCGCUAAAUCAUAAGACACGUGACGUAUUAAUAACUUUACUUUUUUUGUUUUAUGUAUCAUUAUUCGAAAUAUUCCGUAUUAUUUUUUAAUAGGGAUUCUCAAUGAAACCAAUCAUUAAUGAUAACGAUCAUAAAGUUUCGUACUGUUGUCGGCGUUUAUUAUCCGUAAGUUGUAUGAACCGGGUAAGGCGGGUCGAUGCCUUCUGUAACGUCGAACGAACCUAAUCCUGCUUAUCUAUUUAUCGAAUCUUCCACGAGACGACAUCGUUCGAUGCGCUUAAAGAAGAAGAGUGAGAAAAGAAAAAAAAUGAGAAGAGAGACUCUCACGAAUCUUUGGAAAGUGUCGUCUCGUCGCGAUAAGAGAGUCGAAAGAUCGGAAAAAGAUGGUCUAACGUAAUACAAGAGAAAGAAAGAGAGUUAUUAAGUUAUUUAUGAUGGCGAUAAAUAUUUAUAAUUAAU